UACGAAGGGUGCAAACGUUGCUCGGAAUCAUUGGGCGUAAAGCGCACGUAGGCGGCCUGAUAAGUCGGAUGUGAAAUCCCUCGGCUCAACUGAGGACGUGCAUUCGAAACAGCCAGGCUCGAGUAUGGAAGAGGGUCGCGGAAUUCCCGGUGUAGAGGUGAAAUUCGUAGAUAUCGGGAGGAACACCAGUGGCGAAGGCGGCGACCUGGGCCAAUACUGACGCUGAGGUGCGAAAGCGUGGGGAGCAAACAGG
rnacentral:rRNA from 1 species